rnacentral:lncRNA from 12 species
CAGCCCAGCAGCCCGGGCCUUGGUCGGAGGAGCAAAGCCGGGAGAGCGGCCGAGGGCGACGCGCUGGAAGCGGGCACUCACCGAGACAGAAAGAACUAGUUUCAUCUGAGGCAACAUGUCCAACCACUACGAGGUGAUAGAAAUAUAAAGCUUAUCUACAUGUACAUUUUUCAAAGUACAAUGUCAGUGAGUCAAUAUCAUGAACAAUUCCUCCAUCGCUUCAGCUUCUUUCGUAUUUGUGGAACAUCCACUAACUGUAAGACACCCCAUCCAUGGAGAAUUAGGACCCAGAACCUACUCUCACGGAGAUCAGAAUUCUUUUUACUUUUCCAUGUUAAAGCCGUUCCAGCAGAACAGAAAAAUCUUCCAAUAAGUCUGAUGGAAAAUACAAGGGGAGGAUUAGUGCCUCAAAUUAUGAAACUAUCUAGAUUAACCAAUAGCAAACAUCUUUCAACGAAUCCUUUCUUUUAGCCAAAGGGAGGUUUAUAUCUCAGGUACAACAGACAACUCAAAAUGGCUACAUGAAAUCAAGAACUGUUUGGAAAGAGAAAAGAAAAAAGAGAAAAAGGAAUUUAUUGUAAGAACCCUGAA